UCAAACUCUGGCUCUCAAGAUGUUGCUAAACUACAACUCUCAUGAUUCUCUGGCUAUCUAUUUAAUUCAAUGAAUCGUGGGGGUUGUAGUUUAGCAACAUCUGGAGGGCGAGAGUUGGA